GAGUUGAACUAUUUCUGUGCUGGU
rnacentral:piRNA from 1 species